rnacentral:misc_RNA from 1 species
UUUUCGUAGGUGAACCUGCGGAAGGAUCAUUAAAGUUAUAGUCCCCCGGCCCUCUGGGCUGGGGUCUUCUAUACCACCCUUUGUUUAUUACACCUUUGUUGCUCUGGCAGGCCUGCCCUCGGGCUGCUGGCUCCGGCCGGCUCGCGUCUGCCAGAGGACCUAAACUCUGUUUGUAUAUGAAGUCUGAGUACUAUAUAAUAGUUAAAACUUUCAACAACGGAUCUCUUGGUUCUG